rnacentral:rRNA from 1 species
AGUGAACGCUGGCGGUAGGCCUAACACAUGCAAGUCGAACGGCAGCACAGAGGAGCUUGCUCCUUGGGUGGCGAGUGGCGGACGGGUGAGGAAUACAUCGGAAUCUACCUUUUCGUGGGGGAUAACGUAGGGAAACUUACGCUAAUACCGCAUACGACCUUCGGGUGAAAGCCGGGGACCUUCGGGCCUGGCGCGGAUAGAUGAGCCGAUGUCGGAUUAGCUAGUUGGCGGGGUAAAAGCCCACCAAGGCGACGAUCCGUAGCUGGUCUGAGAGGAUGAUCAGCCACACUGGAACUGAGACACGGUCCAGACUCCUACGGGAGGCAGCAGUGGGGAAUAUUGGACAAUGGGCGCAAGCCUGAUCCAGCCAUACCGCGUGGGUGAAGAAGGCCUUCGGGUUGUAAAGCCCUUUUGUUGGGAAAGAAAUCCUGUCGGUUAAUACCCGGUAGGGAUGACGGUACCCAAAGAAUAAGCACCGGUUAACUUCGUGCCAGCCGCCGCAGUAAUAC